CACUAAGAUUGGCAUCAAUAUGGUGACCUCCUGGGAAUGGCAGACCACCAGGUUGCCUAAGGCGGAGUGAACUGGCCCAGGUUGGAAACAGAGCAGGUCAAAACUCCUGUGCUGAUCAGUAGUG
ensembl:misc_RNA Metazoa_SRP Metazoan signal recognition particle RNA